rnacentral:rRNA from 1 species
GUAGGUGGCAAGCGUUGUCCGGAUUUAUUGGGUUUAAAGGGUGCGUAGGCGGCCCUGUAAGUCAGUGGUGAAAUAUCUCAGCUUAACUGAGAGGGUGCCAUUGAUACUGCGGGGCUUGAGUACAGAUGAGGUAGGCGGAAUUGACGGUGUAGCGGUGAAAUGCAUAGAUAUCGUCAAGAACUCCGAUAGCGAAGGCAGCUUACUAAGCUGUAACUGACGCUGAGGCACGAAAGUGUGGGGAUCAAACAGGAUUAGAUACCCUGGUAGUCCACACUGUAAACGUUGAUGACUCGAUGUUGGCGAUACACAGCCAGCGUCCAAGAGCAAUCGUUAAGUCAUCCACCUGGGGAGUACGCCGGCAACGGUG